rnacentral:rRNA from 1 species
AUUGAACGCUGGCGGCAGGCUUAACACAUGCAAGUCGAGCGGAGAUGAGGUGCUUGCACCUUAUCUUAGCGGCGGACGGGUGAGUAAUGCUUAGGAAUCUGCCUAUUAGUGGGGGACAACAUUCCGAAAGGAAUGCUAAUACCGCAUACGUCCUACGGGGAGAAAAGCAGGGGAUCUUCGGACCUUGCGCUAAUAGAUGAGCCUAAGUCGGAUUAGCUAGUUGGUGGGGUAAAGGCCUACCAAGGCGACGAUCUGUAGCGGGUCUGAGAGGAUGAUCCGCCACACUGGGACUGAGACACGGCCCAGACUCCUACGGGAGGCAGCAGUGGGGAAUAUUGGACAAUGGGGGGAACCCUGAUCCAGCCAUGCCGCGUGUGUGAAGAAGGCCUUAUGGUUGUAAAGCACUUUAAGCGAGGAGGAGGCUACUGAGACUAAUACUCUUGGAUAGUGGACGUUACUCGCAGAAUAAGCACCGGCUAACUCUGUG